GGAUAACGCUACGGGAGGCUCACACAUGCGAAGCCGAGCGGUAGAGAUUCUUCGGGAAUCUUGAGAGCGGCGCACGGGUGCGGAACACGUGUGCAACCUGCCUUUAUCUGGGGGAUAGCCUUUCGAAAGGGAGAUUAAUACCCCAUAAUAUACUGAGUGGCAUCACUUAUUAUUGAAAACUCCGGUGGAUAGAGAUGGGCACGCGCAAGAUUAGAUAGUUGGUGAGGUAACGGCUCACCAAGUCAAUGAUCUUUAGGGGGCCUGAGAGGGUGAUCCCCCACACUGGUACUGAGACACGGACCAGACUCCUACGGGAGGCAGCAGUGAGGAAUAUUGGACAAUGGGUGAGAGCCUGAUCCAGCCAUCCCGCGUGAAGGACGACGGCCCUAUAGGGUUGUAAACUUCUUUUGUACAGGGAUAAACCUUUCCACGUAGUGGAAAGCUGAAGGUACUGUACGAAUAAGCACCGGCUAACUCCGUGCCAGCAGCCAGCGGUAAUACGGAGAGGUGCAAGCGUUAUCCGGAUUUAUUGGGUUUAAAGGGUCCGUAGGCGGAUCUGUAAGUCAGAUGGUGAAAUCUCGUCGAACUUAACUAUGAAAC
rnacentral:rRNA from 1 species